UCACUGGGUGUGCUCUGGCAUUAGAUCAAACCCUCCCCGAGGAGAGAGAACCCAGAAAGCCUAAAGUCAGCAAUGAGUUAGCCAGUAACAGAACAUAGACUUUUCCUCUGGGGGAACAAACAGAAACAUCUUGCAAAAUUUGCACUGUCUGACCUCCAACCUGUCUGCUCCCCACAUAGGGAGGCAUCCAGGCCCUGGCAACUAGUUUCUUAGGUCUGGAGGCUGACCUCUGAAGCCCAGCCCACCACCACGCCGCUGCCUUGCCUCUGCUAUAGUUACAAGGAUGGCACCACCACUGUCACCAGGUUUCUAUCGCACCCUAAUCAACGCAAUGUGUGCCACCCCAACAUGCUUCACUUCAGACAGUGACCAGAGACUUCAGGUGUGGAAUGACAACUCUUCAGCUUCAUCACUCAGCCACCAGGUUCCAGAUGCCAUCAGGAUGCCGGCCAGGCUUCCCUGGACUGAAGACACCACCAAUGUGUCCUGAAGCUCUGCUUCCACUGAGACCCACU